ACUAUUUCAGUGCAAACAGAGCUUGUGAGGGCUCCAGGCCGUCUGGUAACGUCCUCUGUGCUGGGAAGGAAGGAGCAGUUGUUCCCUGUGGUUGGCACCAGCAGAAGGUUUCAAAGUGAAUGCUCCUCAGCAGUCCCAGCACGAGGAUGUUUUCACAGCUAUCUUGCUGAAAAUCUUGGAUCCUGCAGACUCGAAGAUGGAUUGUCACAGCUCAUGCUUAACGCAGCAGCUCAAGGCUUGAAAUGAAGAGUUCAGUGAUAUCCAGUUCUGCAUACACUGCAUCCAGUUCUGGAGCCACC